rnacentral:rRNA from 1 species
CAGCAGCCGCGGUAAUACAGAGGGUGCGAGCGUUAAUCGGAUUUACUGGGCGUAAAGCGUGCGUAGGCGGCUUUUUAAGUCGGAUGUGAAAUCCCUGAGCUUAACUUAGGAAUUGCAUUCGAUACUGGGAAGCUAGAGUAUGGGAGAGGAUGGUAGAAUUCCAGGUGUAGCGGUGAAAUGCGUAGAGAUCUGGAGGAAUACCGAUGGCGAAAGCAGCCAUCUGGCCUAAUACUGACGCUGAGGUACGAAAGCAUGGGGAGCAAACAGGAUUAGAUACCCCCGUAGUCCCUGUCUCUUAUAC